rnacentral:lncRNA from 1 species
GGGGAUGAACCGAGGCAGCCAUCGGCGAGACGCUGCUGCCUGAGCCACCAAGAGAGGUGCCACGUCCGAGCCUCCCGCUGCAGCCCCCGGAGCACCAAGCGCCGUGCGUCCACACCAACUUGGUCCAUCUGCCCCGUGGUGCCACCAGCCAGCGCCUGCCCUUGGGCACAGCUGCCUGGUGAAAGCUCUGGGACUGGUGCACGUGGGGCCACAUCCCUGCCA